UACAGAGGGUGCGAGCGUUGUCCGGAAUCACUGGGCGUAAAGGGCGCGUAGGCGGCCUGGUAAGCGUGCGGUGAAAGCCCGGGGCUCAACCCCGGGUCGGCCGUGCGAACUGCUGGGCUCGAGCACUGUAGAGGCAGGUGGAAUUCCGGGUGUAGCGGUGGAAUGCGUAGAGAUCCGGAAGAACACCGGUGGCGAAGGCGGCCUGCUGGGCAGUGACUCGCAAGAGUCAAUAGCUGACGCUGAGGCGCGACAGCGUGGGGAGCAAACAGG
rnacentral:rRNA from 1 species